UGGGCGAGGAGUACAAAGGACCCCAGGCGAAGCCGGCGCCGGGAGGCAGAGCUGACUCCCGCGGGACUCUACCGGCCUGCGAGCGUUCGUCACGUGCUCGGUGGCUGAGGGGCCGUCCCGGCCGGGCGGGCUUCACCGCGUGGGCGCGGCAGUCGCCACUCACCGAGGUUGACGACCUUGAGCGCCGUGAAGAAGCGGUUCUGCCGGGCCAGGUCCUGCCAGGGAGCCUUGGAGCAGUGGCGUGGGUUCUCACUAUGUUGCUUAAGCUGGUCCAGAACUCAAGCCAGUCUCUCACUUCAGCCUCUUGAGUCGUUGGGAUUACAGAAGCCACCAUGUCCAACUAGACAAGAUCUUGUUGCCCAGGCUGGUCUCAAACUCCUGCGUUCAAAUGAUACUCUCGCCUUGGCCUCCAAAAGUGUUGGGAUUGCAGACCUGAGCUACUAUGCCUGGCUGAAUUCUAUUUCUAUUGGAUUGGUUGUAAAGAAGUGCAUUGUAGCCUGCAAAGGAGCAGGGCCAGUGGGGUGGAGAGGGCAGAAGUGCUACAGAGGCCCCUGCUCUCCACUGCCCUGACUGCUACUGUGCUGGAUGCCGUGUGAACCACAGCUGCAUCUGGAGGCCUUGGGCAGCACCUAACAGGAAGCCAGAGUAGGUCCUCUGAAGGUGUUUGUUCAAUGAACUUGUCAUCCUCCUCAACUUAAAGCCUUUAGCUUUUCCAAUUUGGAGGCACAAAUAAGUGAGAACUUGGGGAUCCACUGAGGUCUGAGGCACGGUGGUACCAGAGGAGAUGAAGGGGCUUUCAGCAUGAAGCUGGUCCCCUGUCGACAGCACGCUGAUUUUCCCGUUGGGCUCUAUCAGCAUGUCCACUGUGAGACCAUGCUUGUGAAAAUACCAGGACGGUAAAUUAGUGAAUUCCAAAGUCAGGAUUUUUGUUGGAUCUGGCACAGUCACAGGAAAGUCUGAGUUUUCUCAAGGGCAUCCCUGUCUCACCGAGGGGCACCAAGGACAGACGACCAGAAGCAAAUGGCGCAGUCACCGUCAGAGGAGAGUAAAACUCAUUCUGAAACGGUUCCAAAUGCCCAUGCCUGCUCUGUGGUUUUCAGCAAAGCGGACCUUUCCAAAAGACCUCCAACAGGGACUUCCUGGAUGUGAGAACACUAACCAAUUCUCGUUCCUCUCAUCUUUUGCUUUAUUCCUUCCUUCCAUGCUGUUAUUGCGAAAAACUGGUAGUUAAAUUCAAUUGAUUCAAAAUAUUCGGGAUCCAUAUGGCCGCCAACCCUGGAGCUGAAGCGGCGAUAGCGCCUCACUGCUGUUUUCAAGCAUUUGCCUCUCCUCCAGUCCCCAGAUGGUGGGAGUAACAUUUAAACCUCCUUUUCUCUGCCUUGUACAAUAGACCUUGGCACCAUUUCAACUGUUUACUCCGGUAAUUAACAGCUCUGAUACCACAACAAUUACAACUCCUACACUCUCACCACAAUAAUGCUAUGAAUUAGUGAGAGCUAAUGGCUGGAAGGUAGAGUGUUUCCAGACUGUGGGAUCUGUGCAUUUUUAGAAUAAAAUAAAAGGUACAAACAGCACGCUUGCAGUAGACAAUGAUUACCUAGUAAUUAGUUUACACAAAGCUUCCUAUUUAAUGGCAAAACGCUGUAAUUAACGUGUGACAGAAAAUCAAAGGGUACUUUGUAAGCAUAUUAAAAAUUAACACUGCAGGCCCAUAGCUUUAUGUACUGAUUAGAAGCAUAUUAAAUCAAUAGGACACACAAACCAACAGCUUGGGUAGCUGAUUAUUAUAGGUCCUCAGAAGGGGUACCCUGGCUUUCAUUUCACUUGGGGAGGCAAUUUUCCUUCUCCUGUCAUCUUCCUCAGGCACAGAGAAACACCUCAAACUCAACCCUGGCAGCUUCAUGAAAAUAACCACUGAACUGGAAGAAAACAUUCUAAGUCAUUCUCAGAGAUGAAGACAAAUAUGUAAAUGAUUAAGACUUUCCAAUGAUUGUGGUGACGUGCUGCUACACUAAUUAGAAAAUACACCAACUGGAACCAGAAAAUAAAGCCACUGGGUUGCAAUCUUCCGGUCAGAAUAAUCUCUACUUUGUCAAGCCUCUUUAUUCAACUCAUAGAAAGUUCAAAUAAAUGGAACUGUUUUAUAUUUCUAAAUGAUAAGAAAGCAGGCUGCUAUGAAGACUUAUUCUUUCCAAGGCACUGUCUGGGUAAAGCAUAGGCUGGGAACAACUGGAUCAACCAACAUUCUGUAUCUUCAACAGCCACAACCCCAUAUAAUGAUGGCUGAUGGACAUAGACAGCAAUAUCCUGGAAGCCUACCAGAGCCUAAAGAACCUUCUGAAUCACCAAAGAAAGAUUAAGUUGUAUGUACUUGUUCAAUGUUACCUGUAUUUUGUUAUAAUACAAUUUUAUGGUAAUAAUAACAACAAUAAUAAUAGGUAGCAUUUCUUAAAGUCUUAUUAUGUGCUAAGCACACUGCUAGCCAAUUCAUAGAAUUAUCUCAUUUACUUGUCACCACUUCCCCAUGAGACAGGUACUAAUCUCUCUUUACAGAUAGAGAAAGGGAGACUUGGAGAGCUGAAGUAAUUUGCCUAUAGUUAUCCCCCAGGGAGCAUGGGAGUCUAACCUAGGUGUCCCUGGCUAUGGAACCCCAGGAAGCCAAACUACCUCUUAGUUACCCUGAAUGACUAGCCUGUUCCAACACUCAUUCUGCUUAAAAGGCAGUUUACUAUGUCAACCUGGAAUAGGAGACUAAAAAAAUUAAAACAAAAACAAAAUAUUUGGUUGCUUAUUUUUUUAAAAAACAGGGUGUUUCUGCUUUUAGAGAUAGGAGUCUUGUUCUGUCACCCAGGCUGGAGAGUGGUGGUGCAGUCAUGACUCAUUGCAGCCUCAAACUCCUGGGCUCGAGUGAUCCUCUUUCUUCAGGCUCCUAAGUAGCUGGAACUACAGGCACACACCUAAUUUUUAAAUUUUUUGUAGAGAUAGGGUCUCACUAUAUUGCCCAGGCUGGUCUUGAACUCCUGGCCUCAAGCCAACUCCCACCUCAGCCUUCCAAAGUGUUGGGAUUACAAAAUAUUACAGGAGUGAUCGACUGCACUGGGCUAAAAACAAGGGUUUUAAAUGCUUACCAUAUUUUUAAUGCUACAUCUGAUUGUGAAGGUGGGCUACUCAAAGCUUUUUGGGAAUUUACAGGCUCACUAAAAUGAUCACGAUAGUGUAUUAAAUUGAGAAAGGCAUUGAAAAUCUGUCAUUCCCAUGAACAACCAAAGGGUGAUGUCUAAAAUUCUCUCUCAUCACCCAUGCACAUAACCAGGUAUAUGAGGCAGUUGGGUUGCAAGAGCUGAAUCCUAGAAACUCCUAGGCAGGGCUCCUCCUCUCCAGCUCUGAGGUGUGUGUAUUGAUGGCCCCCUACACCUCCCAGUUUGCUGCCUUGUGGGAAAAGGAGACCAGCUCUUCUGUUAUCUAGGAAAGGGAAGAAAUUUGAGAGCAGUGGCCUCUGUGUUCCAGGAAUAUUUGCGUUUCCCACAAAUCUCUGGAAAGCAGAAAGCUUGCCACAAGGGCAGCACACGGUAUGAGUCACAAAGGCAAGGACCUGAGGGAGAACACUUCCCAGGACUUUCAAAUAAGGUCUUUCCUAAAUGUACUUGGCUCAGUGUGGCAAAAGCACUGGGCUAGCAGCAGUCAGAUGUGGGUUCAAAGCAAGGCACAAUCAUUUAUUAGCUAUAAAUUUGGGCAAGUCACUUCUUGAGAAUAAGUUUCUUCAUCUGUAAACAGAAGUAAUACCUUCCUUAUAUCUUAAAUUGGUGUGGAAGUAAAUGAGUAAAAACCUCAGGGUUUUUCUGAGUUUAAAUGAGACAAUUCAUGUAACGUGCUUAGCACAAUACCUGGUACCCAGUAGGUACUCUGCAGUAUUUAUUGAUGAUGAUGAUGAUGAUGAUGAUGAUGAUGAUGAUGACAAAGAAAUACAAGGAAAUGUCAACACCUUAACAGUGCAUUCAUAGAUCUACAAAAUGCUUAAUCUCAGUGUUCUGGCAACCACUAAAUACAUAAAGAUAAUCUAAGACAUCAAGAUUUCAACAUAUAAAAAUAAAUAUAAAAACAAGUGAACAAUAAUCAUUUAUAUGUAGUUUCAUGACUGGAAAAAAUAAUAACCUAGAUUUUUUCUUAACCUAGAAAAUCUAGAUUAAAAAAUAAAGAUCUUGCAUUUUUGAUAUAAAACACAAAUAAUAAGGACAUGAAAAAAGAAUAUCCCUUGCUAGUAAUCAAAUAAUAGCAAUGAGAAGCUGGAUUCUUAUAUCUAAAAUAAAAGUGCAAAUAGUUCAUAAUAUCCAUUGGUGGUAAGGUUGUGGUAAAACUAGUAUUCUUAUUCUCUGCCAGUUGCUUUGGAAAUUGGUACUAUCUUUUUAGGAAUAUGGCAAUAUGUAACAAAAGCCAUAAAAUAUUCUACUCCUGGGUCUUUCUCCUCGGGAAGUAACUCAACAGAAGCAAAAAGAGGUGUAUACAAAAACCAAAUAUAAAAACAAACAAAUCUUUCCUCCCUCUUUCCUCCCACUGCCAAAAAAUGAAAGCUGGGAAUAGCCUAAAUUUCCAACUUAGUUGAAUUGUUCAAUAUAUUAGAGUUCAUCAAUAUGAGAGAAUAUUAUGCAUCUAAUAAUUGUGACGACUAUGUAUAAACAUGGAAAAUAUUUAAGAUCUGAUGUUUAACUAGCAUAUACACUAUUAUUGUAGCUAUGAGAAAGAAAUACUGCAUAUUUAGAAAUUAAUAUACAAAAAUGAAAACAACUAUGUUUGGGGACAGUGAUUAUGUACUUUUAAAUUUUUUUUAAUCUUGUUAUCUUUAAACUUUUCUAAAAAUGAUGUGAUUACAAGCAAUGGCUCUUUGGGAUCACCUAAUAAAUACCUACUAAAUUCUAGACGGGACAACGAGCUCUGCCAUCCUGCAAUGGCUCCUGUGACCUAGUUCCAGGGCCAUUCUGAAUGGACAGAGGUCUUCACAAUGGAGGUGGAGAUGCAGGGAGCUCUAUGGCAUGAAAUGGUUAAUGAUUCUCUUUUGUAAUUGUGUUUUCUGUUUGCUGCCUUAGUUCUAAAAGGAGGCAAAACAACUGUGGUUUAUUCUACCUUUUCCAGGCAUAGUUCUUCUCCUACCUUUGUGAUCCCCAAAUUAAUAUCAAAUGUCUAAUUAGUUUUUUUCUCCAUUGGUGAUCCCCAAAUUAAUAUCAAAUGUCAGACAAAGUAAAUCAAAGUACAAAUAAAGGUAAAACUGCUCUUGCAAAGGGCUAAAAUAGCAAUGUUUACUAGAAGCAUUCAAGAGCCAGUUCAAUUUCCUAUUUCUCAUUAAGUGGUAAAAUAGUAAUGCCAAGACCACAUCCCAGAAUCUCCAGGGUAACAGAGGCCCAACGAAGGGCUGCAGAGAAACUUGAAAGUAAACUGGCUUAGUUCUUUACACACAGAAAUUGUUCUACAAAGAUCUCUUGCAAAGCAGUGUCACCAGUAGCAUCACUGCCACUAAGCCAAUGUCCCAGGAAUUGAGGAAAGGAAGACACCCUUAAAGAAAAAAAUGGAAAAAAGCCACAAGGACUGGUACCACAGUAAAUGUCUGCCUGGGUCUCCCUAAACUGUCUUAGGUGAGCUUACCCAGGAAUGUUUCUCCCCUACAUGUUUGCCUUCCUUUGUUUAAGCCUUUAUUCCUCCUAAAUGAAAAUAAAUACCCCCGACUGGGGAACGUGGAGUUUGGAGUGUGUGCAAGAGUGUGGAUUCAUUAAAACUUAACGAGCAGAGUACUUAAGUGAAUGAGUUUACUGGAACUUGUUGGGGGAAGUAGGUUUUGUUAGCUGGU
rnacentral:lncRNA from 10 species